GCUUUGGGGCGGUGCUUUUCUCACUUGCGCCUUGACUCCGGACAGCGGACCCCUCGUCCUGUUUCCACAGAGAAAGUUUCGUAGAUAAAGUUGAAUAAAAGGCUUCAGGGUGAAGUUGUACCUGAGCUUCGUGGACCUCGUGGUUUUGUUCUGCGCUGUGGACGCGGACAUGCGCAGGGGCGCUAUAAACAAUACAAAUUUCUGGAUCCCAGAACAAACCCAGUCCAGAUGAGACCAGGAAAAGGAGAUGGAGCCUGGACUUUCCUCCUUUUUAUGGACUGGAAAAGUCAAAUUAUUUUAAGUUUUAUCAGUCGAUCAUUGAUUUCCUAAGACUCUAUGAAGAUAAGAAAGACCUGCUUCGUUUUAUCAAGGAGCUACAGGAAUUACCACAACAAAGUGAGAAACUUGAGAAGAAGAAAAGAACUGGGCUGAUUGUGUCAGCAGUUACUUUAGCUGUUGGAGCUUUAGCUUUAGCCUCUUUCCCGUUCACUGGACUGAGUUUAGUUGCACUGGGACUAGGAGCAGCCGCUGGUGUCGCUGGAGCUGCUGCUGGUGUUGGAGUAAAUGCCACAUUCAAAAGAGAAAUGAAAAACAAACAGAAGAAAAUACAGGAGGCAGAAGCAGAUUUCAUAAACACACUGAAGGAACUGGAGACACGACUGAACCAUGUGCAGACAGAAAGUAAAGAGCUGAGACAGAGAGAGGGAGAAAA